GAGGGUGUAGGUCAGUGGUAGAGCACCUGCUUCGUGUGCAGAAAAUUCUGGUUCAAACCCUAGCACCUACU